rnacentral:rRNA from 1 species
AUUGAACGCUGGCGGCAUGCCUUACACAUGCAAGUCGAACGGUAACAGGUCUUCGGGUGCUGACGAGUGGCGAACGGGUGAGUAAUACAUCGGAACGUGCCCGAUCGUGGGGGAUAACGAAGCGAAAGCUUUGCUAAUACCGCAUAAGAUCUACGGAUGAAAGCAGGGGACCGCAAGGCCUUGCGCGAACGGAGCGGCCGAUGGCAGAUUAGGUAGUUGGUGGGAUAAAAGCUUACCAAGCCGACGAUCUGUAGCUGGUCUGAGAGGACGACCAGCCACACUGGGACUGAGACACGGCCCAGACUCCUACGGGAGGCAGCAGUGGGGAAUUUUGGACAAUGGGCGAAAGCCUGAUCCAGCCAUGCCGCGUGCAGGAUGAAGGCCUUCGGGUUGUAAACUGCUUUUGUACGGAACGAAAAGACUCUGGUUAAUACCUGGGGUCCAUGACGGUACCGUAAGAAUAAGCACCGGCUAACUACGUG